GAGAAAACUUAAAAGGGAAAAGAACAAAAGCGAGAAACUUAAAGCGCCAAAAAUUUCAGCAAAAAGAAAGAGGGAACCUUUUCAACUUAGGUUUUUCCACUUGUACUUCCGCAAAAACCUUUCCACUCUUCUUUUUCACUGAUCCAUUCAAUUUUCACGAAAAGAAGUGAAAAAAGACAAGACUACAAACAGAGGGAAGCUAAGAUAUAUUGAAGUUGCAACAUAUUCAAUUGGUAUUUAGAAGCUUUUCUUUGAGAUCUUCACCCAAACCCCUUUCUAUCAAUCCACACCAGGAAGUUUCUCUUGGUAGACCACCCACCCAUCAUGAGGUAUGGAAGAAGACCCAUACGAAAAUCGAAGACGGAAAAGAAGUUUGGGUCGAGCCAUGGGUUGAGGAUACCUAUGUAAGCUCUAAACUUACUUGGAAUAUAUUUGACUAGUAAUAUUAUUUUAUGGUUCCCGGAGGUACUUCCUAGAUUAUCUCCUCAUCUUGGUGUUGAGGCAAACUAGAGCAAUGCUUGAUUUUUGAAUCGAUAUAAUCUGGAGAGGAUGUAGAGGUGAGGUGAUCAUAAGCAUGGAGACGAUGAGGAUCAGGAGAAUAGAGAGCAUCGAGAGGCAGAAAUGGAGUAUUAGGUGUCAAUUGUUAUUUUUUCUAACUUUUGUUAUUUUGGAUCGUUUGAAGUCUAGUUUGCAUAACGUCGAAGU